CAGGCCUAACACAUGCAAGUCGAACGAAGGCUUCGGCCUUAGUGGCGCACGGGUGCGUAACGCGUGGGAAUCUGCCCUUGGGUUCGGAAUAACAGCGGGAAACUGCUGCUAAUACCGGAUGAUGACGUAAGUCCAAAGAUUUAUCGCCCAAGGAUGAGCCCGCGUAGGAUUAGGUAGUUGGUGAGGUAAAGGCUCACCAAGCCGACGAUCCUUAGCUGGUCUGAGAGGAUGAUCAGCCACACUGGGACUGAGACACGGCCCAGACUCCUACGGGAGGCAGCAGUGGGGAAUAUUGGACAAUGGGCGAAAGCCUGAUCCAGCAAUGCCGCGUGAGUGAUGAAGGCCUUAGGGUUGUAAAGCUCUUUUACCCGGGAUGAUAAUGACAGUACCGGGAGAAUAAGCCCCGGCUAACUCCGUGCCAGCAGCCGCGGUAAU
rnacentral:rRNA from 1 species